rnacentral:rRNA from 1 species
UACGUAGGAUCCGAGCGUUAUCCGGAAUGACUGGGCGUAAAGAGUUGCGUAGGUGGUUUGUUAAGCGAGCAGUGAAAUCUUGGGGCUCAACCUCAAGGCUAUUGCUUGAACUGGCAGACUAGAGUGCGAUAGAGGUAACUGGAAUUCCAAGUGUAGGAGUGAAAUCCGUAGAUAUUUGGAGGAACACCAAUGGCGUAGGCAGGUUACUGGAUCGCAACUGACACUGAUGCACGAAAGCGUGGGGAGCAAACGGG